UACGUAGGUGGCAAGCGUUGUCCGGAAUUAUUGGGCGUAAAGCGCGCGCAGGCGGUCCCUUAAGUCUGAUGUGAAAGCCCACGGCUCAACCGUGGAGGGUCAUUGGAAACUGGGGGACUUGAGUACAGAAGAGGAAAGCGGAAUUCCACGUGUAGCGGUGAAAUGCGUAGAGAUGUGGAGGAACACCAGUGGCGAAGGCGACUUUCUGGUCUAUAACUGACACUGAGGCGCGAAAGCGUGGGGAGCAAACAGG
rnacentral:rRNA from 1 species